rnacentral:rRNA from 1 species
CUACCAUGGCGUUUACGGGUAACGGAGGAUUAGGGUUCGAUUCCGGAGAGGGAGCCUGAGAAACGGCUACCACAUCUAAGGAAGGCAGCAGGCGCGUAAAUUACCCAAUCCUGAUUCAGGGAGGUAGUGACAAGAAAUAACGGACCGAGGCCCUCGGGCUUCGGGAUUGCAAUGAGCCGAAUUUACACCCCUUAGCGAGGAUCAAUUGGAGGGCAAGUCUGGUGCCAGCAGCCGCGGUAAUUCCAGCUCCAAUAGCGUAUAUUAAAGUUGUUGCAGUUAAAAAGCUCGUAGUUGGAUUUCUGGGAGGGUGCCAAUGUCCGCCGACGUGCGUGCGCAGCGGCGCCCUCUCAUCCUUCUGUUAACGUCUCUCGGCAUUCACUUGCCGAUGGCGGGCUCAGAUAUUUUACCUUGAGAAAAUUAGAGUGUUUCAGGCAGGCUAGGCCGGAAUACAUUAGCAUGGAAUAAUGGAAUAGGACUUCGGUCUCUUUGUUGGUUUGAGGGACUGCAGUAAUGAUUAAUAGGGAUAGUUGGGGGCAUUAGUAUUUAAUUGUCAGAGGUGGAAUUCUCGGAUUUGUUAAAGACUAACUUAUGCGAAAGCAUUUGCCAAGGAUGUUUUCAUUAAUCAA